AGUGAACGCUGGCGGUAGGCCUAACACAUGCAAGUCGAACGGCAGCAUCGUAAGAGCUUGCUCUCACGUGUGGCACGUGGCGGAAGCGUGAGGUAUACAUCGGAAAAUACUCUUUAGUGGGGGCUAAUGCCGGGAAAUUUAUGCUAAUCCAGCAUACGACCUAUGUGUGUAAGCAGGGGUUCUUCGAACUUUGCGCGAGUGAAUGAGCCGACGAAGGCUUAGCUAGAUGGCGGGGUAAAGGCCCACAACGGCGACGAUCCGUAGGUGGUCUGAGAGGAUGAUCACACACCUUGGAACUGAGACACAGCCCAGACUCUUACAGGGGGCAGCAGUGGGGAAUAUUGGACAAUGGGGGCGAGCCGAAUCCAGGCAUACCGCGUGAGUGAAGAAGGACUUCGGGUGGUAAAGUCCUUUUGUUGUGAGAGAAGAGCAGCAGUUUAAUACCCCGUUAUACUGACGGUACCCAAAGAAUAAGCACCGGCUAACUUCGUG
rnacentral:rRNA from 1 species